rnacentral:tmRNA from 1 species
GGGGAUGACAGGCUUCGACGGGAGAGGCUGGUCCCGGAAUGCGAGCCGAGAGGCGCCGAACUCGUAAACUCAGCGCAAAAAAUCAAGUGCCAACCGCACUGCUUACGCUGCCAUGCCCCUCGCCGCUUAAUGCGACGGGAACAUGACAGUCAACAUCCCUAGAUGAUGUUGCGUCCCCCGGCACCCAUCCCCGUCGGGUGACGGGUCGGGCGAGACAAAGGCGGGGUGCCGCGCACGACGCCGCUGCAUGCGCGAAAGAUUAGCGGCUGGUCGCAGGGAGUUCCUGCCGGGUGAGAUCCCUGCGAUGACGAGCAUCAUCCGGCUACGCUCGUAGAGUUCCGAGGGUCGAAUCUUUCGGACGCGGGUUCAAUUCCCGCCAUCUCCACUC